GCUGAGUAACUGGCUGCGACAUCUGUCUCCCCAUUGAUCACCAGGGUUGAUUCGGCUGAUCUGGCUGGCUAAGCGGGUGUCCCCUUUCUCCCUCACCACUCCAUGUGUGUCCCUCCUGAAGCUGUGCGCUUGGUCGAAGAGGACGACCUUCCUGGAAUAGAGGAGGACUGGUUUUCGGUCAAGGGUAUACGAGUAGCUGUGCUCCCCUGCUAGAACCUCCAAACAUGCUCAAGGUGUCAUAAAUCUUAAUCAGAUUUGUCAAUCUGGAUGAUUUUGCUCUUAACCUCAUAGAUAAUUUCAAGUAGGAAAAAAGGA
rnacentral:sRNA from 1 species